UCCCCUAGUAGCGGCGAGCGAAGCGGGAAGAGCUCAAAUUUAUAAUCUGGCACCUUCGGUGUCCGAGUUGUAAUCUCUAGAAAUGUUUUCCGCGUUGGACCGCACACAAGUCUGUUGGAAUACAGCGGCAUAGUGGUGAGACCCCCGUAUAUGGUGCGGACGCCCAGCGCUUUGUGAUACAUUUUCGAAGAGUCGAGUUGUUUGGGAAUGCAGCUCAAAUUGGGUGGUAAAUUCCAUCUAAAGCUAAAUAUUGGCGAGAGACCGAUAGCGAACAAGUACCGUGAGGGAAAGAUGAAAAGCACUUUGGAAAGAGAGUUAACAGUACGUGAAAUUGUUGGAAGGGAAACGCUUGAAGUCAGACUUGCUUGCCGAGCAAUCGGUUUGCAGGCCAGCAUCAGUUUUCCGGGAUGGAUAAUGGUAGAGAGAAGGUAGCAGUUUCGGCUGUGUUAUAGCUCUCUGCUGGAUACAUCUUGGGGGACUGAGGAACGCAGUGUGCCUUUGGCGGGGGUUUCGACCUCUUCACACUUAGGAUGCUGGUGGAAUGGCUUUAAACGACCCGUCUUGAAACACGGACCAAGGAGUCUAACAUGCUUGCGAGUAUUUGGGUGUCAAACCCGGAUGCGUAAUGAAAGUGAAUGGAGGUGGGAACCGCAAGGUGCACCAUCGACCGAUCUGGAUUUUUAAUGAUGGAUUUGAGUAAGAGCACGUAUGUUGGGACCCGAAAGAUGGUGAACUAUGCCUGAAUAGGGCGAAGCCAGAGGAAACUCUGGUGGAGGCUCGUAGCGGUUCUGACGUGCAAAUCGAUCGUCAAAUUUGGGU
rnacentral:rRNA from 1 species